rnacentral:lncRNA from 1 species
UUGGCAUUUACAAGUAGAAAGCAUACAGUAUGUUACAAUUUUAUCAAAAUGUGAAAAAUAUGGAUGUUACAUAAGUAACAAAUGUAAAAAAAGUAUUUUUCUUACCUUCCCUGAAAGUAAGAAAACUAUUCAGCAUAGGAAAAUAUUGAUAUAGAAAACACAGCUUAGGUAAAAAAAAAAAAAUUUGACGUUUUUACACCGUAUGAUAGGUUCAUCAGGUCUGCAUGAAGAUGUAAGGACUUGGUGAAGUUCUACGUAACCUAAAACUUUAGGGAAUUCGGGACAAAUAGUAAGCUACAUUAAUGAGUCUACAAGUAGUUUUCCCUCAUAUCCGCUCCAAAAUGCUAGAGUGCAGUAAUUUUCUAUACAAUAAAUAAUUUUUCCAUCAUAGAAAAUCGUAUAAUGCAGAAAAAUGCCACUCCAAGGUCACAAAGGCUAGGCAGUGCUUUAAUAAUUAUUAUGAUAAUAGUUAUUAUAGUGCUUUAUAAUGUCUAAGCACUUUAGACGAGUUAACUAAUUAGUCCUCACAACACCCCUGUGAGGUAGGUAAGUGUUAUUACUACCUUUCCAUAGUACAGAUGGGAAAACGAAAUCUGGGGAGAAACACGGACUGCGUCAGCAGCACAGUGAAGGUUAGAGGCCAACAGAUGCGGCUACCUGCUUUUUUCUUCUUGCUCCCCUUGACCACACUGCUGCUGUGAGCCAGGCUGCCCCGCUGAUCCGAGCUGACAAAUGCCAAUCUUUCCACUCCGACUGGAGGCACUGGGGAUGGGGGGGGGGGGGGGGGGAGUUAAGCAUCCCAAAAUAUUCCACAGAGAUUCAGAAGCUCUCACACAACUUUGUCAAAAAAAAAAAAAAAAACUAAAACAUAAAAAAAACCCCAAGGCCUGCCCCCUCCCCCCGCAAAAAACAAACAAGCUGAAAAGAGAAAAACUCCUAAAGUGCUGACCAGCUUGAGCUGCUUCUAGCACCUCCUGUACGGAAUAAGACUUACAGCACUGCUGCCAGCAAUUACUCAAGCUGAUUUCUUCCUUAAAAUUUACAUAUGAGCAACUGCAGGAUAUGGUAACUACAUUUUCAGAGACACUUUACUACUGUAACUCCUUCAUUCACCAUCCUUCUUCUGUGCACUUCUUAAGGAAAAUGAAAUCCCUCAAUACUCUUGCAUUGUAAAACAGGUUAGUAGCUGGAGACAAUAUGCACAUCCUUCACAAUAAAAAAAAAAUUAGUUCGUUUUCA